CCAAUUGGGAAUCAGUUUGAGAACUUGAGGGAUGGAGAAAAGACUGAGAGUGAGUGUGUGGGGCAUUUUUCCACGAACAGUCAAAACCCACUCUCAUUGUCUUCACACACUCUCUUUCUCUCUCUAUCGCUCUCUGUCUCUGUGGGGGCAACUUUACUUCUUCGUCUCGGUCAUGGGAAUGUUCGCGACGCCCUUUUUGCUGGGUUUGCUGGCGUUUCUUGGAAUGCAGCUCCCUGUAAUAAUGGCGGAUUGCCCCUUAGAUCUGAGCGGAUCUAAUUUCACCAUGGUCGCCUCAAUCUGCUCCACAAAAGAUGACAGAGGAAAGUGUUGCCGCUACAUUAAUGCUUUUGUUGCAGUUUCUAUUGCUCGCUAUGCAAAUGCCACAGGCAACCUAGGGGUUGCUGCAAAUACGUCUGAAAUCUGCCUGCAUUCCAUAUCAAAAACCUUGGAACUGUAUGGAGUUACACCAAAUGCAACGGUGUUUUGUGGGUUUGGAACAAAAGUUCUAGUUAAUUAUGAGUGUGAAGGUCGGACAACUGUCACCCAGAUGCUGGAGUCUCCAACAUUUGUGGAUGUCACUGCAAAUUGCAAAAUGCCACUUUCAGAGGAUAGUAAUUGCAGGAAAUGUUUAAAUGCUAGCAUCACAUACCUUCAUCAUCAGAUAGGAACUGAAGAUAAUAUGACACUGAGUACGUGCCGCGAUGCAACUUUUGUUGCAAUUGCAAGCCAAGUUGAUGGCAAUUCAUCUCUCGAAACUGCUAGCUGUUUCUUUGGAGUUCAAGGGAUCAGCCCACUUCCGGUUUCAGAGCCGGCCCCAUCUUUGCGGCCUGAGGCUUCUCCAAGUCCAUUGGUUGCUGAGAGCCCAAAACAACUAAUGUUGGGUAUACCCUCAAAUAAAAAUCACCAUCCCUAUCGCCUGAAAUUGAUUCCAGGUGUCGGGAUUGCUGUUACAGCAGUUGCUGUUAUGAUGCUGGUAGUCUUGGUAUUUCUUAUUCGUAGGAAAAGCAGAGAGCUGGAGGAUUCUGAAAAUAUGGAUAAGACAUCUUCAAAAGCUUUUCCUCCUCGGCCUAUGCGAAAAUUUCAGGAAGGUCCUUCAUCUAUGUUCCGAAAAUUCACCUAUAAGGAGAUAAAGAAGGCAACUGACAGUUUCAACACUGUCAUUGGGCAAGGAGGAUUUGGGACAGUGUACAAGGCUCAAUUUAGUGAUGGCUUAGUGGCAGCAGUAAAACGUAUGAACAGAAUUUCAGAGCAGGGGGAGGAUGAUUUCUGCAGAGAGAUUGAGCUUCUUGCUAGACUGCAUCAUCGGCACCUUGUUUCUCUAAGGGGCUUUUGCAUUGCAAAACAUGAGAGGUUUCUCAUGUAUGAGUAUAUGGCAAAUGGAAGCUUAAAGGAUCAUCUUCAUGCUCCUGGCAGAACUCCUCUCAGUUGGCAGACUAGAAUGCAGAUUGCGAUAGACGUGGCUAAUGCUCUGGAGUACCUCCAUUUCUAUUGUAAUCCUCCUCUGUGCCACAGAGAUAUUAAGUCCAGCAACAUUUUACUGGACGAGAACUUCGUGGCUAAGAUUGCAGAUUUUGGCCUUGCACAUGCUUCAAAAGAUGGUUCUAUUUGUUUUGAACCAGUAAAUACUGUUAUCCGGGGGACUCCAGGUUAUAUGGAUCCUGAAUAUGUUGUCUCACAAGAACUCACUAAGAAAAGCGAUGUUUACAGCUAUGGCGUGCUACUGUUGGAGAUAGUGACUGCAAGACGAGCAAUACAAGACAACAAGCAUCUAGUGGAAUGGUCCCAAAUUUACAUGGAAUCAAGGCUACCUGAGCUCGUGGAUCCUAGUAUCAGGGAUUUUUGUGACUUUGACCAACUUCAAACAGUAGUCUCUAUUGUGAGAUGGUGUACCCAGAGAGAAGGCCGAGCUCGGCCUUCGAUUAAGCAGGUUCUUAGGCUUCUAUAUGAGAGUUCUGACCCAAUGCAAAACAGCCUUUUAGACGCAUUGGCAGAUGAAGAUUAUGAAGGAAUUGGAGGGAGAGGAAGGACAAGCAAAGGGAAAAUGCAUAGGCAUGAUGCAAUCUUUCACAAUGGAGAUGGAAGAUAUCUUGCUUCUUCCUCAAGUACAUCUAGGUCAUAUUGUAGUAGGAGCUUUUUACUUGAAACUGGCUCUCCACAGUCUCCGCCCAAUAUACUUUCUCUUUGAUGCCAAUCAUUUGGUGGGUAGGACAUGGACUGAGUCAUUGUUGAAAGCAUUGGUUUGGAGGGCUUGAAUUAGGUUGCAUGUAUGCUUGGUUUUCCAUCCUCACCAAGUAAAAAGUUUUCAUCUCCCGGAGGCAUGUCGAAGACAUCAAGAUAAUUUCUGGCUUUGGUUAAAAGUUUAGAGAACAUGUUCAUAACUUGGAUGUUCAGAGAGAUUUGGUUUCCUUGUUUGUAAUUAAGAGGGGACAGUGGUUGAACCUUGAGGAAGUAGAAGCACACAAAUGAAACUCAAAAACAGUUUCUGUUACGUUAGAAAUCUACGUAAAGGAUCAGAGUUUGAGAUUGGCUUGCAGCCUGGGCUGAAUCUUUCCUGACAACCCGUGUACAAGAUAAUCGGUUUGGCUUCGGGUAGGGCUGUAAACGAAUAGAGUUGCUCGAGUUCGGCUCAAAUUAGCUUGGCUCGGGAUAUUAAAUAAAUAGAACUUGAACCAAAAUUUAUGUUCUUUUAUUAAACAAGCCGAACUCAUAUCAACUUGUA